UACGUAGGGUGCAAGCGUUGUCCGGAAUUAUUGGGCGUAAAGAGCUCGUAGGCGGUCUGUCGCGUCUGCUGUGAAAACUCAGGGCUUAACCCUGAGCUUGCAGUGGGUACGGGCAGACUAGAGUGCGGUAGGGGAGACUGGAAUUCCUGGUGUAGCGGUGAAAUGCGUAGAUAUCGAGAGGAACACCGGUGGCGAAGGCGGCAUCCUGGACCAAUAUUGACGCUGAGGAGCGAAAACCAGGGGAGCAAACGGG
rnacentral:rRNA from 1 species